rnacentral:rRNA from 1 species
ACAGCCAGGAGGUUGGCUUAGAAGCAGCCAUCCUUUAAAGAUAGCGUAACAGCUCACUGGUCUAAACAAGAUGUCCUGCGGCGAAGAUGUAACGGGGCUCAAGCCACGAGCCGAAGCUUAGGAGUGCGUAGGCACUGGUAGCGGAGCGUAGUGUGAUGCGGACCCAGUCCGCUUUCUGUGAAGCCGGGGCGUGAGCCAGCCGGUGGAGAGAUCACUAGCGAGAAUGAUGACAUGAGUAGCGAUAAACAGGGUGAGAGACCCUGUCGCCGGAAGUCCAAGGGUUCCUGCUUAAAGCUAAUCUGAGCAGGGUGAGCCGGCCCCUAAGGCGAGGCCGAAAGGCGUAGUCGAUGGGAACCAGGUCAAUAUUCCUGGGCCAGGAGGAUGUGACGGAUCUCGAAGGUGGUUUCUCCUUACUGGAUUGGGGUGGCCGCUCAGAGGUUCCAGGAAAUAGCCCUCCAUCAGACCGUACCCUAAACCGACACAGGUGGACUGGUAGAGAAUACCAAGGCGCUUGAGAGAACGAUGUUGAAGGAACUCGGCAAAAUGCCUCCGUAAGUUCGCGAGAAGGAGGCCCGGUUCCGAGGCAACUUGGAGCCGGGGGCACAAACCAGGGGGUGGCGACUGUUUACUAAAAACACAGGGCUCUGCGAAGUCGCAAGACGACGUAUAGGGUCUGACGCCUGCCCGGUGCUUGAAGGUUAAAAGGAGGGGUGCAAGCUCCGAAUUGAAGCCCAAGUAAACGGCGGCCGUAACUAUAACGGUCCUAAGGUAGCGAAAUUCCUUGUCGGGUAAGUUCCGACCUGCACGAAUGGCGUAACGACUUCCCCGCUGUCUCCAGCAUCGACUCAGCGAAAUUGAAUUGCCUGUCAAGAUGCAGGCUUCCCGCGGUUAGACGGAAAGACCCCGUGCACCUUUACUACAGCUUCACACUGGCAUCAGGCAUGUGAUGUGCAGGAUAGGUGGUAGGCUUCGAAGCGGAGACGCAAGUCUCCGUGGAGCCGCCCUUGAGAUACCACCCUUUGCCUGCUUGAUGUCUAACCGCGGUCCGUUAUCCGGAUCCGGGACCCUGUGUGGCGGGUAGUUUGACUGGGGCGGUCGCCUCCCAAAGAGUAACGGAGGCGUGCGAAGGUUGGCUCAGGGCGGUCGGAAAUCGCUCGUUGAGUGCAAUGGCAGAAGCCAGCCUGACUGCGAGACUGACAGGUCGAGCAGAGUCGAAAGACGGCCAUAGUGAUCCGGUGGUUCCGCGUGGAAGGGCCAUCGCUCAACGGAUAAAAGGUACUCCGGGGAUAACAGGCUAAUGGUGCCCAAGAGUUCAUAUCGACGGCACCGUUUGGCACCUCGAUGUCGGCUCAUCUCAUCCUGGGGCUGGAGCAGGUCCCAAGGGUACGGCUGUUCGCCGUUUAAAGAGGUACGUGAGCUGGGUUUAGAACGUCGUGAGACAGUUCGGUCCCUAUCUGCCGUGGGUGUAGGAAACUUGAGAGGAGUUGCCCCUAGUACGAGAGGACCGGGGUGAACGAUCCACUGGUGGACCUGUUGUGGCGCCAGCCGCAUCGCAGGGUAGCUAUGAUCGGACAGGAUAACCGCUGAAGGCAUCUAAGCGGGAAGCCCCCCUCGAAACAAGGUAUCCCUUGAGGGCCGUCGCAGACUACGACGUCGAUAGGCCGGAGGUGUAAGCGCAGCAAUGCGUUCAGCUGACCGGUACUAAUUGCCCGAUAGGCUUGAUUUG